CCUACGGGAGGCAGCAGUGAGGAAUUUUCCGCAAUGGGCUAACGCCUGACGGAGCAAUGCCGCGUGGAGGAGGAAGGCCUGUGGGUCGUAAACUCCUUUUCUCAGAGAAGAAGAUCUGACGGUAUCUGAGGAAUAAGCAUCGGCUAACUCUGUGCCAGCAGCCGCGGUAAUACAGGGGAUGCAAGCGUUAUCCGGAAUUAUUGGGCGUAAAGCGUCCUGAGGUGGCUUACCCAGUCGACUGUGAAAGCUCAAGGCUCAACCUUGAAACGGCAGUCGAAACUUGUAAGCUUGAGUACGGUAGAGGCAGAGGGAAUUCCCGGAGGAGAGGUGAAAUUCGUAGAUAUCGGGAGGAAGGCCAAAGGCGAAAGCACUCUGCUGGGCCGAUUACUGACACUGACAGACGAAAGCUAGGGGAGCGAAAGGGAUUAGAUACCCCUGUAGUCCUAGCCGUAAACGAUGGAUACUAAGUGUUGCGCGACUCAACUCGUGCAGUGCUGCAGCUACGCGGUAGUAGUCCGCCGUGGGAGGUAGUGCGUCGCGAAGAGUAGUUAAACGUUAAAGUAGUUAAGUUAGUACGGCGUUGAGACGUUGCCGACGGACGACGACGAGGGAGGUUAGG
rnacentral:rRNA from 1 species